CCCUUAGAUGUUCUGGGCCGCACGCGCGCUACACUGAUGCAUUCAACGAGUUUCUUCCUGGUCCGAGAGGAAUGGGUAACCUUUUGAAAGUGCAUCGUGAUAGGGAUAGACUAUUGCAAUUAUUGGUCUUCAACGAGGAAUUCCUAGUAGACGUAGUUCAUCAGACUGCAUCGAUUACGUCCCUGCCCUUUGUACACACCGCCCGUCGCUCCUACCGAUUGAAUGCUCAGGUGAGCCAUUCGGACUUUCAUCAUGCUGGUUUCCAGUUUUGAUGAAGGGAAGUCUUGCGAACCUUAUCAUUUAGAGGAAGGAGAAGUCGUAACA
rnacentral:rRNA from 1 species